GCGAGGCCGCCCUGUGUGGAGACGCUGAGCUGUGUCGCUUUCUUCCCUCCAGGCUGGACGGCAGUCUGGAAACGACCAAUGAGAUCUUGGACUCUGCCUCUCACGACUGCCCCUUAGUCACUCAGACAUACGGCGCAGCUGCAGGAAAAGGUACUUACGUGCCUUCAUCCCCAACGAGACUUGCCUACACAGACGACCUGGGUGCUGUGGGUGGCGCCUGCCUGGAGGACGAGGCCAGCGCCCUGCGCCUGGAUGAGGACAGCGAGCACCCGCCCAUGAUUCUUCGGACUGACUGAACUUGACCUGUGACCUCUGACCCGGGGAGCAGAGAACACUGGCUUCACAGAGGACUUUGUGCAUUGCUGCUAUGAACUUUGACCUGAGUCGGGGGAGAGGAUGGCAGAGACUUUAUUAAAAAAAAAAAAAAGAUUGUAGUGGUAGUCUAACUCCAUAACGCUGAGGAAAUACAUCAUUUUCACUUCAGUGGCUUUUAAAUCCUGCUUAUGAAUUUUAGCUUUUUGUUUGUUUGUUUUCUCUUUUUGCCAAAAUUAACUGUUUGGUGAAGCCCGCAAAACCGCCUCGCUUUGCAUGCGUGAACGUGCCAAGCCAGCAUAGGGGAGCUAGAAGCCACUUUCCAGCCACCUGCCGUUGGGUUUUUUCAUAUCUGUACAUAAUGCCGAGUGCGUAAGGAAACCGUGGCGUCGCGCACAGUGGGUCUGCUUGUCAAGGCCAGUUCUGCAGUGACAGGCCUGGGGCUGCCCACCAGGUGUGCUGGGCAGACUUCAGCUGGGACAGGAGUCCGAUCUCCCUAGGGCCCCACCUGGACCAUUUUCCCUCCGUUUUAUUUUGUUAAUUAAAUUCUUUCCAAAUUGGAUCACUCUGGGAUUUCUUCCAUGGUGGACUUUUGUUUCUGAUCUUGUUUUCCAUGUGGAUAUUGGAGGACAGCGAGGUUCUUUCUGAUACUAAAAACCUUUCUUUCAGGCAGCAAAUGAACUUGAAAGGUUGCCUGGACUCGCUGGAGCAAAGGAAAGCGAUUUUGUUUGUAUAAUUAAAUGAUCUGUUCUUCUACUUCACUCUUCCUGUUGAAAAACUGUGUGAUUUUUUUUUUUUAAGGAAAGUUUGUAGCUCCUCCUA
rnacentral:lncRNA from 1 species